rnacentral:rRNA from 1 species
AGUGAACGCUGGCGGUAGGCCUAACACAUGCAAGUCGAACGGCAGCACAGUGAGAUCGUGCUCUUACGGGUGGCGAGUGGCGGGCGGGUGAGGAAUACAUCAGAAUCUACUUUUUCUUGGGGGAUAACGGAGGGACACAUACGCUAAUACCUCAUACAAUCUACCGGUUGAUGCAGUGGAGCUUCGGGCCUUUCGCGAUUCAUUUAGCCGGUGUCGGGUUAGCUAGUUGGGGGGGUAAAGGCCAACCAUGGCGACGAUACGUAGCUGGUCUGAGAGGAUGGUCAGCCACCCUGGACCUGAGACACGGCCCAGACUCCAACGGGAGGCAGAAGUGGGGAAUAUUGGACAAUGGGCGAAAGCCUGAUCCAGCCAGACCGCGGGGGUGAAGAAGGCCUUCGGGUUGUAAAGCCCUUUUGUUGGGAAAGAAAAGCAGCAGGUUAAUACCCCGCUGUUCUGCCGGAACCAAAAGAAUAGACACCGGUAAACUUCGU